rnacentral:rRNA from 1 species
ACCACGCUGAAAAGACCUGUCAAAGGACCCCUAAACUCUGUUUUUACAACUGUAUCUCUGAGUCUAUUAUACAAAUAAGUUAAAACUUUCAACAACGGAUCUCUUGGCUCUGGCAUCGAUGAAGAACGCAGCGAAAUGCGAUAAGUAAUGUGAAUUGCAGAAUUCAGUGAAUCAUCGAAUCUUUGAACGCACAUUGCGCCUGAUAGUAUUCUGUCAGGCAUGCCUGUUCGAGCGUCAUUUCAACCCCCAAGCCCUAUUUGCUUGACGUUGGGAGUUUACGGAGACGUAAUUCCUCAAAUAUAGUGGCGGAGCUAGGUCGUGCUCUAAGCGUAGUAACCACAAUUCUCGCUUCUGCAGCCGGCUUAGGUCCUGCCGUAAAACCCCUAUAUUUUUUUAUUGGUUGACCUCGGAUCAGGUAGGAAUACCCGCUGAACUUAAGCAUAUCAAUAAGCGGAGGAAAAGAAACCAACAGGGAUUGCCCUAGUAACGGCGAGUGAAGCGGCAACAGCUCAAAUUUGAAAUCUGGCCUUCGGGUCCGAGUUGUAAUUUGUAGAGGAUGCUUUUGGCGCGGUGCCUUCCGAGUUCCCUGGAACGGGACGCCUUAGAGGGUGAGAGCCCCGUACGGUUGGACACCAAGCCUCUGUAAAGCUCCUUCGACGAGUCGAGUAGUUUGGGAAUGCUGCUCUAAAUGGGAGGUAAAUUUCUUCUAAAGCUAAAUACCGGCCAGAGACCGAUAGCGCACAAGUAGAGUGAUCGAAAGAUGAAAAGCACUUUGAAAAGAGGGUUAAAUAGCACGUGAAAUUGUUGAAAGGGAAGCGUUUACGGCCAGACCUUUUCCUGGCGGAUCAUCUGGUGUUCUCACCAGUGCACUCCGCCAGGUUUAGGCCAGCAUCGG